CCUACGGGAGGCAGCAGUGGGGAAUAUUGGGCAAUGGGCGCAAGCCUGACCCAGCAACGCCGCGUGAAGGAAGAAGGCUUUCGGGUUGUAAACUUCUUUUCUCAGGGACGAAGAAAGUGACGGUACCUGAGGAAUAAGCCACGGCUAACUACGGGCCAGCAGCCGCGGUAAUACGUAGGUGGCAAGCGUUAUCCGGAUGUACUGGGUGUAAAGGGCGUGUAGGCGGGACUGCAAGUCAGAUGUGAAAACCACGGGCGCAACCUGGGGACUGCAUUUGAUACUGGAGUUCUUGAGUACUGGAGAGGCAGACGGAAUUCCUAGUGUAGCGGUGAAAUGCGUAGAUAUGAGGAGGAACACCAGUGGCGAAGGCGGUCCGCUGGACAGCAACUGACGCUGAGGCGCGAAAGCGUGGGGAGCAAACAGGAUUAGAUACCCGUGUAGUC
rnacentral:rRNA from 1 species